UACGGAGGGUGCGAGCGUUGUCCGGAUUUAUUGGGUUUAAAGGGUGCGUAGGCGGCUCUUUAAGUCUGGGGUGAAAGCCCGUUGCUCAACAGCGGAACUGCCUUGGAUACUGGAGAGCUUGAGUACAGACGAGGUUGGCGGAAUGGACCGAGUAGCGGUGAAAUGCAUAGAUACGGUCCAGAACCCCGAUUGCGAAGGCAGCUGACUAGGCUGAUACUGACGCUGAGGCGCGACAGCGUGGGGAGCGAACAGG
rnacentral:rRNA from 1 species